CUCAGCAUAUUUUGGAUGAGCCGAUUUUGUCUUGAUUCAAGAUGCCACAGGUGGAGCUAUACAACGGCUCCACUGAUCCAAUCGAUCAUCUGGAGAGCUAUAAAGCUCUCAUUAUGAUCUAGGGGGCGACCGAUGCUCUCUUAUGCAUUGACUUCUUGAUAACUCUUCGGAAAGCUACUGGAGCCUGAUACUUCGGACUUCAGUCAGAAAGUAUUGACUCCUUCGAGC
rnacentral:lncRNA from 1 species